UGUCGAGUGACCAAGUCAGGUGAAGGUAAGUGUAGCGCAACACUAAUGCAUGGGUUCGAAUCCCAUCUCGACAGCCA
rnacentral:tRNA from 1 species